rnacentral:rRNA from 1 species
GAAGUCAAUUAUUACUUAAUUUACACAUGCAAGUCUCCGCCCCCCUGUGAAAACGCCCUUAAACCCCUUAUGGGGCAAGGAGCUGGUAUCAGGCACAACAACUCUGCCCAAGACACCUAGCUUUGCCACACCCACAAGGGAACCCAGCAGUGAUUAACAUUGAAUAUUAGCGAAAGCUUGAUUCAGUUAAAGUAUAUAGAGCCGGCUAAUCUGGUGCCAGCCGCCGCGGUUACACCAUGUGGCCCAAAUUGACUCCCUAUCGGCGUAAAGCGUGAUUAAAGCUACCCACAAUUAGGGUCAAAUUAAAACUAAGCUGUGACACGCUUGUAAUCAAGAAGCUCAAACACGAAAGUUACCCUAAUUAAAUCAACUUGA